GCCGUGGUAGCUGACAGAAUAGCUAAGCAAGUGUCAACGGUGCUGCAGGACUGGAGAGGCAGACCUGAAAGCCAGCCGAGCCUCAGAGUCUACAGAGAAGUAGGAAGUCACAACUGGUAGCGAGAUAAGAUUCCAGACCAAGGGCAGAGUUUCCCUGAGGAGGCCAGGGCUGAUUGAGUGCAGGGUUGGCUCAGAGUCAGCGUCUGUUGUCAGGCACAUUGGAACGACUGCACAGUUGGGUGGAGAGAUGGAGCUGACCUGAAGCCAGGGGCCAGGCGGUUGGAGUCCAUGGCCUGCAGACCCAGGGAUAUGUUUACCAGGUGUCUGAUGAGAUUACAGGUUGGUGUGGCCCUGGCAUCCUGCAACGCCCCACUCCAUUAUGUGACUGGGUGGAAAAUCAUUUAAGAAUAUUUCAUGUGAUCUUCAAGGCAAUGCAUAAAAAGGUAAUUGGAAGAAUGGAUGAAAACUCUUUUUCCAUUAUCUGCCUCCAUCUUAUUUUUGAGUCUACUGGUUGCCUCCUUGUACGGAAGAGCAUGUCUUUCAUUUAUGAAGGCUGUCAGGCAGAACUCGGUGGCACACAGCCCUAAUCCCAGCAUUCUGGGAAACUGAGGCAGGAGGAUACCAUGAUCAAGCCACACCUGGGCAAUCUAAAAAUUUAGCAAGACUCUCUUUCAAAAUUAAUUGUUUUCUAAAUUCUGAGAAUGGUACUUACUGUGAACAUCCUGGGUUUAAUCUUCAGUGCCACAAAAGUUAUCAAGGAUAACAGCAACAACAACUAUAGCUCGGGUGGUUCGUGACCGUGACACCGUGUGGAGAAGCCUAUCCACGCACCUCACUGCAGUGUCACCGGCUCGCCUGAGAGCACUGAGGCUGCCAGGAAGGCCGGAGGCACAUCCCCUGGG
rnacentral:lncRNA from 1 species